UUAGUGCGAAAGCUGCGAGGCUCGACACACGACAGGACCGGGUGUCUCACUACUGGGACAUCUCGAUCCUCUGUUCUCGAGCGGGAAGGUCUGAGCAUAUUUGUCCUCCUUGAUCGACUCUAGCAGGGUCCAGCGGUAAACCGCUGAGCGACGCACCAGAAAAGCGGUCCCGAGCACCUCAUUACAUACCAGUAUGUAAACGCCCAACGAUCUCUGGUCGAACGGAAGGAGGGCAGGAGCUAAACGGAUCAUGGGAAACGUCGCGAGGACAGGGCGACGGUGUCUUGGUUCCUGGCAGCGCAUCGUACGGUCUCGCAAGGGGCCUGCGCGCGCUGUUGGGCCCGUCGUCCUUGGGUGCACUUCGCAGCUUGGGGUCACGCUCUACGCGAGCAUCUCAAAACUCGAUUCAGACUAUUCUUGCCCUGC
rnacentral:RNase_P_RNA from 2 species